GUCGCUUCUCGGCCUUUUGGUUGAGAUCAAAGUUUAGUUUCUGUUCUUAUCGAAUUAAGCUUCAAUAGAGAUUCGAAUAGUGCGGGUUUAUUGAGGGCAUCUGCGGAAUAUACGUACUAAGGGUAACAAUAACGAGUAUACAUAAUUUGGUGUGAAGUGACUUUUGAGCCAUGCUCAGGCUAUUUAUAAUCAGGUAUACAGUCGUGCCUGGCCAAGAAAAAAAAU
rnacentral:snRNA from 1 species